CCUAUCAGCUUACAGGAGAUACUUCUGUAAAAAAAUUCUAUUCUAGGCCAGUCAUUUUGGCAGAUCUGUAAUGGAAAAUAACUACAACUUUAAAAAUAGCAGUUUUUCCCGUUCAAGAGCUGUAAGAUUCCAUCACAAGAUCAACAACCACUUUAAAAACAUGACUGCAGCCUCUGUCUCACAGCUUUCCAUUACAGUGAACUUCAGGGCAUGAGAAUGUUCUACCACAAGCUUCUGGAAGCUUUCCAUAAACCCAUCUGAACGUGCCAACCUUUUACAGCUGAAAAUGAAUUUACAGGGGCAAGUCAUACAAGGCUGAACUAGAUACAGUUACACUUAAUGUUCAGUCUUAAAAAUAUAUCAAAGUAUUUUGUAUGUGUAUUGGACAUCACGCAACAAAGUUUGUUCCUGAAGAACAGGUCUCAGUGAUAAAAUACAUAUUCUGUAUAGUUACAUAAAUAUCAAAGGUGUGCUCAUCAUUUUAAAACAAUAAACAUAUGGAAACAACUUCUGUAAAACUAGAAGACAUGAUUAAUUACUUUGUUCAUUAGUUCAUUCAGACCUGAUAAGAUUUUCGGUUUUCUUCAGCACAGUUAGAGCUAGUUAGGUCUUCAUGUUGUACUUCACGUAGUAGGAGCCCAGUUUUCUCUAUUACACCGACGCAGGUAAGUAGUUGCACUGACUGCUGGCAUAAGCAAGUGUGGCAGCUGGGAUACUUUGUGACUAGUUAAAGGACAACUUUCACACGAGAUAAGAAGUGGCUUCAUUUCUGGCAGAAGUCCUGCUUGCCACAGCCACGUGGCAGUGUUACAUCAGAAGAGUGUCACGUCCCUCCGGACCAGGCAGUGCUCCCUUCCUUUGUUCAUGUCAGCUGCUGCUUUGCUGCCAUCAGUCACACCUGCAUGAUCUCCCAUGAAUACCUGGCUCCUGAAGCCAUGUCUGCUUGCCAGUGUGGUCCUUGCACACAGGUCACACUGACUGAAAUCUCAUUGUGCGAUCAUCUACUAUGUAUUAAUAGAAAGCUUGUCAGCAUGUCUGAAGGUGAUAAAGACAAUGAUAAAGCAAAUGGCAAUCGUCUCACACAUCCCAAGAACAGGAGCGCAAGAAUAAGGUGGCCUAAGUGCAGACUGCUGUGCAGGUCUGGAGAACGGUUACAGUGGUGCACAGCCCGGGCUAUUAAAGUGAUUAUGGGCUUUUUUUGAG
rnacentral:lncRNA from 1 species